GGACCAGCCACCUCCACUGUGCCCCACCUCAAGAAGCCUGGGUACAAUAAACAGGCUUUGCCACAAGCUCAGGAGUGUGAUCACCCACCAUUCCCAGCUGAGGAAACUGAGGACACAGGACAUGAUCAGAGGGAGCCCAGGUCCGGCCACAGAAUCCAUGUGCUUCAAGACCCUCGAUGAAGGACCGCGGCCCGGCCAUCAUUCCACUCCCGUCACUCUGUGACCCCUCUCGAGCCAGGUGGACCCAAACCCACUUCAGCAGCUGGACGCAAUCAGAGGUGACCCCAGUCCUCACUGACCUCUCUCAGGAUCUCUUGAGGGCGACUUGAAAAAAUCUGGUACCAGCCCAUUAGCAGCCCGGCCUCCCGCACGGCCUCCCCGACAGCUUCCCGCAAGACCCAUUGCCCCGCCAGACCUGCGCCCCGCCAGCCGCCCUCCCACACCUCGCUUCCCAGCAGGAAGUCCUCCCACCUAAGGAGUGGGGUCCCCAAGCAUCGCUUGGCGUCUUUGGGGGCUCUGCUAGGAGCCAGGGAGAGUGCAACCUGGAGACCUUCUACUGCCACCGGAGUCACUUCUGCCCUGUCCGGGUUCCGAGCAUCUCAGAAGCCCUGAUGAAUGUUAGGGCUUCCAGAACCCCCGGGGGUGCGGGUUAGGGAGACCCGCUAUCCCCGGGGGCGUGGCUCUCCGCGGCUGGCCUCGCACCUGGACGCUCCCCAGCCCCGCCCACCCGUGCCGCCCCACCCCCCUGCGCACCUCCGCGCAGGUGUCCCGUGGGUCCCCGACCUCGGAGCUUCCCAGCUGCGGAUCCUUGCCGCUGGGCCUGGGCGGGGCCGGGCUUCUCCUCCCCUCCCACCUCCUCACCCUUCCCCUGGGCCCCGCAACAGCUUCUCUGGUUGUUCCCCAGCCGUGUCCCUCCUCCGGGGGCUGCAGGCAGGGCCUGUGUCCACUGCCUUUCCGGUCCCUAGGGCGGGAGCUGGGCCUGCACCCAUCCGGCCCCCACCUGAGCCUCACGGUGGGGCUGUGGUCCUUGUCCUUGGAGGGGCUGCGUCUCCACGGCAUGGCGCCUCUGUGGAGGACAUGCCUGGCCUCAGUGCCACCCUGUCCCCAGGUCUGGCUUGUUGGGAGCCUGCCCCGGAGCCCACUCAGGCUGCCCUUGGUCUCUGGGAAGUGGGGCACACCCCAGCGGGCUGCAGAUUGGCGCACCCUGUGGGGUGACAGAGCUGUAUGAAGUGGUUUAGUCUUUAAAAUCCAGAGCGAGGGCCCUGGGCCCAAAUCCCCGAAGCUGGGUGACCUUGGUCAAUGUCACUACCACUUUGUGCCUCCCUGUUUCAUGCAGGCGGAGCACCUUGUGUCAGAGAAAUGCCUGGGACCAGAAUAGUGCAGACUUCGGAAUUUUUGAUUCUGGAAUACUUGUGGGUGCGGGAGGAGAGGGGACCGAGUCUAAACACAAAACUCUUUUAGAGCUGGGCAGGUGCAGCACCUGUCACCCUUGCUACUCUGAGGCCGAGGGUGGAGGAUCACUUGAACCCAAGACCAGCCUGGGCGACUUAGUGAGACCCUGCCUCAAAUAAAUAAAUAAGUAAAAAAUUAAAGAAAAUAAAUGCUUUGUGUGGAAUUUCCCACUCAGAGCAACAUGUCAGGCUCAAAAAGUUUUGAAUUUUGCUGGAGGCUGUAAUCCCAGAGGCCGAGGCAGGAGGAUUUCAAGUUCAAGUUCAGCCUCAGCCACUUAGCAAGAUAAUGUCUCAAAAAAAUAAAAAGGAUGGGGGAUGUGGCUCGUGGUAGAGUGCCCCUGGGGUCAAUCCUAGUACCAAAAAAUAAAAAGUAAAAAUAACUAGAAUUCAGACUUUGGCGCGUUUCAGACUUGGAGGGUCUUGGGGUGCCAACCGACAUCACCUCAUUCACACAGCAGUGUCUCCUACUCAGUGCUCA
rnacentral:lncRNA from 1 species